rnacentral:rRNA from 1 species
GAAAAGAACUUUGAAGAGAGAGUUAAAAAGUACGUGAAACCGUAUAGGGGUUAAGCCCGUUGAAUCUAAAUAUCCGAUGGAUGAAAUUCAGUAUUGUUGAUUGUUGACUUUUUUCUGUUUGAUAAUCAUACAGUAUGCACUUUUCAUCUAGUAGGACACUGCAAUCUGUUAGAUUAAAUAUAAUUAUUACAUAUUAUAUUUGAACCUAUCAAUAGAAUUUGUAUAGAUUGUUUAUCUGCUAUUGUACUAAUAAUACAAUGCGAUAAAUCUAUUUAGGAUUCUGAUAGUGUUUGACUGACAGAUUUACACAAAUAAAUCAUAUAACAUGCAUAUGUAAUUGAUCUAAUCAAUUUAUAUGUAUUUGAUUUGCAGUGCACUAUAGAUUUAGAUACCUUCGGGGCCCGUCUUGAAACACGGA